GCAGUGGUGGUUCAGCAGUAGAAUUCUUGUCUUUCACGUGGGAGGCCCGGGUUCAGUUCCCAGCCAGUGCA
rnacentral:tRNA from 1 species